AGACUUUCACGCAGUUUUGGUGCUCGUGCGCGAGCUUCUUUCGCGCACAGUUAAACGGGAAGCAGGAAGCGCCCGGCUUUUUUCUAAGGAAAGCACGCGCCAACCUGCGCUGCCCCCGCAACGGUAAGCGACUGGCGGCAUCGGCAAUAUCGAUUCCGCGCAUUGCGCUAAAGGCCACUGUCAUAAGCAUGGCAGGAAGGCCGCGCAAUGAAGCCGCAAGCCCGGAUACCGGCCAGACUUUCGCGAGGACC
rnacentral:ncRNA from 2 species